CAUUGUAUAUGAAUUCAGAAAUCUGAAACUAGUAAAAAAAACAGAGAAUUUUUUAAAUCUUUGAUUGCAUAUAUUAGCUAUAAACUCAAAUUGAAUUUUGUUGAGUUGUUUAUUGAAAUUUUUUAGGGUUUUAAAGUCUUAAUUUUAGUGUAGUGUAACUGUGUGCUGCAAAACAUGAGUUGUUGUACUGAUAGAAUUGUUUGGAGAGAUGAUGAUAGAGAUACAGUGAAGAUGCUUAGAAAUGUUGGAAGAAAGCUUUCCAAGAACUUGACGUCUUCUGUUGAUCAGCUUCUUCAAUUACUUGAUAAAUUGGAGCUUGUAUUAUCAAACUUGGAUCAUGAUCCACCCAAGCCAAUUCAAGGAUCACUUGUGCUUCCAAUGAAGACACUGAUUUCCGAUGAGCUUUUGAGACACAGAGACGAGGAUGUUAAGAUUUUGGUUACAGCUUGUCUCACUGAAAUUGCAAGAAUUACAGCACCAAAUGCCCCUUAUGAUGAUGAAAACAUGAAGGAAUUUUUGAAGCUUGCCGUGACAGCUUUUGAAAAAUUGUCACAUGUAUCUGGCCGCAGAUAUGAAAAAGCAAUUAGCAUACUUGAAAAUUUUUCAAAGAUCAAGAUGUUCUUGAUCAUGCUGGACCUUGAGUGUGAUGACCUGGUUAUGGAGAUGUUUCGACAUUUCUUGAGAAUUAUAAGGUCAAACCAUCCGAGUAAUGUAAUUGAAUCAAUAGAGAAUAUAAUGACCGGGAUACUUGACGAAAGCGAAGAUAUUUCCUUGGAUCUUCUUAGGCCUUUGUUAGAUAGUGUAAAAAAGGAGAACCAGACAAUUUCACCUAUUUGUUGGACCUUGGGGGAGAAAGUAAUUACAAAUUGUGCUGUCAAACUUAAACCUUAUCUAAUGCAAGCAGUUGUAUCCUCUGGAGGAACGCUUGAUGAGUAUCCGCAAAUAGUAAUUUCUAUUUGCCAGAAUCAACCUGAAUCACAAGUACACAAUCAAUCAUUAGUUCAAGCAGUUGAGAACAAUCUUGAUGUACCUAAAGAUGCUACGGAAGAGCCCUUUGACGUGACAAAAGGCCUUGAAACAGAUACUACUUGUGUGAGAGAUUUCCAAAUUGUAAAUGACAUGGAGACAAAUAUACAAAGUACUAGUGCUGCUACUAUGAACGGAGAAGUUGUAGAAUGUUUUGGUUCAAAAAGAAAACUGCAUCCGUGUACUAAAAACUCCGAAAAAACAAAUCCAAAAACAAGUACAAGCAAUUUAGUGUUAGUUCAGGAACUGAACUCUGAAACUCAACUGGAUAUUGUUCCAAGAAAGAGAGCUCGUAAGCCUAAUUCUUUAAUGAAUCCAGAGGAAGGAUAUGAUCACUCUUGGAUUUCAUCUCAAUCCAAAAAGGCUCAUGAUAAUGGCUAUGCUCUUGCACUUUCUAAAAGCCCUACUUCCACAAAGGGUAAAACACUGUCAAAUCCCAAAACUGUCGACCAAGCACUCUUUUCGGAGGUUAAGAAUGAAAAAGCAUCUAUAAAAACAUCUGAUAUAGGAGGCAGUUUUCUAUCUUGUGAAAAUCCUGCUUCUAUUGAUGGAAUUGUAGUGUCAAAUCUUGAAGAUGUGAGCAAUGCUUGUGAAUCUAAAAAUGAUUCUCUUACAAAUCAUAACAUUCGUAAUGGAAGCUUCCUAAAAAAAAGGCGGCCAAGGAAAAGUAUUAGCAUUAGGAAGUUAAAGGAUGAUAAUUUGAGUCCUUUACUUGAGAAGACUUCUUCAAAAUCCCCUGGUGUAACAAAGGAGUCUGAAGUGAAACAUGAGGCACCUGUUAGAACAAUUAAAUUAUCUAUCAAGUUUGAUGGGAAAGUUGUUGUGCCUCCUACAUCAAUAGUUGCUAGCACAAAUUCUGAGAAAUUUUGUGACGACGAGGGAAGAUCCGCUUCUCAAAUAGAAGUUAAAAAAAGGAGGAGACAAACUGCUACUUCUAAUAAAAGUUUCAACAAAUCGUCUGCUAUGAAGAGACAUGAACCAAUAAAACUUGGUGACUCAUUGGUUGGUAAAAGGAUCAAAGUCUGGUGGCCAUUGGACAAGAUAUAUUAUGAAGGUGUUGUCGAGACCUAUGAUCAUGUCAGAGGAAAGCACAAGAUUUUGUAUGAUGAUGGUGAGACGGAACAGUUAAAUCUGAAUAAAGAGCGUUGGGAGCUACUUAAUGUUUCACCAGAAGAAGGACUUGGAUUUCUGAAGCUUGUAGGACCAUGUAAGGGUGAAUAAAUCAAUUCUCUAUCCAGGUAAGUCUGUAUUCUAAGCAAUAUCUUUUGGUUUAGCAAACUAUCAAACACUUACAUGGACACCGUACACAAUAUUGGCACAGGUACGGAGAAACCAAUAAUAAAUGGAAGUGAUUGAAUAUAACAUUUGUCUUUGUUCGGUAUGGUUUAGUUGAUGAUUCCAUGGAUGAUCCUAUAACAGCGAAAGAAUGAAGAAUGAUUCACCCAUCAAAAAGUAUAUAGAACUAUAGGGAAUGUAUCAAAAAAACAAAGGCCUAUAGAAAAUGUGUUAGAAUGAAGAAUGUAUAUCAUGUGCAUAUAUAUUGGAACAUAUAUGUUAGUUAUGGUAGCACAAUGUAAAUACAUUGGAGACAUUGACAUACAAAUCCUUCUUGAAAAUGGAGAAAUUUCGAUGAAGACAUAGAUUCUCUUUUUU